rnacentral:rRNA from 1 species
UCUUAUUGGGCCUAAGCGUCCGUAGCUGGCUACGCAAGUCCGUCGGGAAAUCCACUCGCCCAACGAGUGGGCGUCCGACGGAAACUGCAUAGCUUGGGACCGGAAGGCUCGAAGGGUACGUUCGGGGUAGGAGUGAAAUCCUAUAAUCCCGCACGGACCACCGAUGGCGAAAGCACUUCGAGAAAACGGAUCCGACAGUGAGGGACGAAAGCCAGGGUCUCCAAC